rnacentral:lncRNA from 1 species
GCGUGUGUGUGUUCUGCAGUAUAUCACAGCACAGCCAACAAGAACGUAUGCCCACUCACACACAGUGCAUCACGCUACAUACAACCAACAGGUAUGUACAGGACCGGCCUUCCCAUUACCCCGUCAUACACAGUGUAUCACGCUACAUACAACCAACAGGUAUGUACAGGACCGGCCUUCCCAUUACCCCGUCAUAUACAGUGUAUCACGCUACAUACAACCAACAGGUAUGUACAGGACCGGCCUUCCCAUUACCCCGUCAUAUACAGUGUAUCACGCUACAUACAACCAACAGGUAUGUACAGGACCGGCCUUCCCAUUACCCCGUCAUGUACAGUGUAUCACGCUACAUACAACCAACAGGUAUGUACAGGACCGGCCUUCCCAUUACCCCGUCAUACACAGUGUAUCACGCUACAUA